UACGGAGGAUCCGAGCGUUAUCCGGAUUUAUUGGGUUUAAAGGGUGCGCAGGCGGGAGAUUAAGUCGGCGGUGAAAUUUUGCAGCUCAACUGUAAAAGUGCCUUCGAAACUGGUUUCCUUGAGUGUAGAUGAAGUAGGCGGAAUUUGUGGUGUAGCGGUGAAAUGCAUAGAUAUCACGAGGAACUCCGAUUGCGAAGGCAGCUUACUAAGCUACUACUGACGCUCAGGCACGAAGGCGUGGGGAUCAAACAGGAUUAGAUACCCGCGUA
rnacentral:rRNA from 1 species